CAGAUAAGGAGCUUGCUCCUUUGACGUUAGCGGCGGACGGGUGAGUAACACGUGGGUAACCUACCUAUAAGACUGGGAUAACUUCGGGAAACCGGAGCUAAUACCGGAUAACAUUUGGAACCGCAUGGUUCUAAAGUGAAAGAUGGUUUUGCUAUCACUUAUAGAUGGACCCGCGCCGUAUUAGCUAGUUGGUAAGGUAACGGCUUACCAAGGCGACGAUACGUAGCCGACCUGAGAGGGUGAUCGGCCACACUGGAACUGAGACACGGUCCAGACUCCUACGGGAGGCAGCAGUAGGGAAUCUUCCGCAAUGGGCGAAAGCCUGACGGAGCAACGCCGCGUGAGUGAUGAAGGGUUUCGGCUCGUAAAACUCUGUUAUUAGGGAAGAACAAAUGUGUAAGUAACUGUGCACAUCUUGACGGUACCUAAUCAGAAAGCCACGGCUAACUACGUGCCAGCAGCCGCGGUAAUACGUAGGUGGCAAGCGUUAUCCGGAAUUAUUGGGCGUAAAGCGCGCGUAGGCGGUUUCUUAAGUCUGAUGUGAAAGCCCACGGCUCAACCGUGGAGGGUCAUUGGAAACUGGGAAACUUGAGUGCAGAAGAGGAAAGUGGAAUUCCAUGUGUAGCGGUGAAAUGCGCAGAGAUAUGGAGGAACACCAGUGGCGAAGGCGACUUUCUGGUCUGUAACUGACGCUGAUGUGCGAAAGCGUGGGGAUCAAACAGGAUUAGAUACCCUGGUAGUCCACGCCGUAAACGAUGAGUGCUAAGUGUUAGGGGGUUUCCGCCCCUUAGUGCUGCAGCUAACGCAUUAAGCACUCCGCCUGGGGAGUACGACCGCAAGGUUGAAACUCAAAGGAAUUGACGGGGACCCGCACAAGCGGUGGAGCAUGUGGUUUAAUUCGAAGCAACGCGAAGAACCUUACCAAAUCUUGACAUCCUUUGAAAACUCUAGAGAUAGAGCCUUCCCCUUCGGGGGACAAAGUGACAGGUGGUGCAUGGUUGUCGUCAGCUCGUGUCGUGAGAUGUUGGGUUAAGUCCCGCAACGAGCGCAACCCUUAAGCUUAGUUGCCAUCAUUAAGUUGGGCACUCUAGGUUGACUGCCGGUGACAAACCGGAGGAAGGUGGGGAUGACGUCAAAUCAUCAUGCCCCUUAUGAUUUGGGCUACACACGUGCUACAAUGGACAAUACAAAGGGCAGCUAAACCGCGAGGUCAUGCAAAUCCCAUAAAGUUGUUCUCAGUUCGGAUUGUAGUCUGCAACUCGACUACAUGAAGCUGGAAUCGCUAGUAAUCGUAGAUCAGCAUGCUACGGUGAAUACGUUCCCGGGUCUUGUACACACCGCCCGUCACACCACGAGAGUUUGUAACACCCGAA
rnacentral:rRNA from 1 species